GAAAAAGCUGGUAGAGCAGCUCUGCUAUUCUACAGAUGAUUGAGCCUUACUGGGGUAGUUUAUUUGGAGCAGUAUGCUGAAAUGCAUGCUGUAAUACAGUCCAGUUCCAUGACUGCAGAUUCCAGACAGGCCAGAUCUUUAGAAAGCCUGUCCGGUGAUAUCAUACACCACAGCCUAGCUAGGGAUUCUGGGAGCCAGUUCCAAGAAGAUCUCACACUCCGAGCAGGACAAAUAAAGCGUUCUCACAUGUUUUUCAACUAGGCAGCUGCAUAAAGUUCAGCAGGAAACUCUUUGUGCUACAUGACCAGGUCACAGACAUAAACAAAAGGGCACUGAGAGACUGAGUCAACAGCCUGUUUCUCAUGUCCAUCUGUGUCAUAUUCAUGUUGCUGAAAUCAAGAUGCUCACAAGAGGAAUCUGAAAUGAAAUGCUCAUACUACAAAAUUUGCACUUGCAAAAGUUUCACAGCCGCUAAAACAACAGCUAAUGGACUUCACAAGAAUGGGAACUCCAUAGAAUCAAACUUCAGUACAAUCGAAAGCCAGUCAAAACACUCCCCUUGUGUCCAAGGGCUUUCACUUGCUGCUAAACUGGAUAUGGGAUUUGUUUUAAGAUCCUGUUGAUUUUUAAAGCACUGCUCAAUUUAGGCUCCCAUAUAACUAAAUGAGGUUUUGGUUCCCUGUUGGCCUGGUCAUGUUCUGUGUUCAGCAGAUAUUGGACUCUGGCUCAUACAGAAAUACCAUGCCACUAUAAAUCAUUAGGUGUCAGAGUUGUUUCAUACUAUGUCCAGCAGCUCUGGAACAUUUUGCCAGCAGAGAUUCAGGAAACAUCAAUUUUGUGACUACUGUCAAGUCAAGAUUAAAAGCACAUUUCCGUACUAAUUUUCUUUCUGUUCUUGAUAGGAGUAAUUAUUUCAGGAUUUGCUUUGCAAUACAUUCUUCUGUUUUCAGCACAGAGACAAUGUACUCAUCUUACACUCAACAUUGCAUAAAAUACAGCUGAAAAU
rnacentral:lncRNA from 1 species